UCUGAAUCUCAUGGUUUUGCAUCUCCGUCUCCGAAGUCAUCGGGGGUCGUCUUGUUCCCCAGCUAUGCAGAUUUCUUCAGAUCGCUCGCUCAGUCUGCCUCCUAUGUGAAGUCUAAUCAUGCUUAUAGUUAUGACCAGUAAGAUCCUCUUUGCUUCAGCAUACUUAAAAGUGUAUUUUGCAGUUGGAAAGUAGGUACAGUGCUUUUCUCGCAGUGGCCAGACUACACUUUUCUCAUUUGACGGCUAACAAGAGCUCAUGAUGUGAGCGACUGCACAGCAUAAUAGAUCAGAUCAUCCAGGACGUCAUCAUGCUUUUCCAGAACUCUUGUUGUUUAUAAGAUUAAUGGACUCCAUUAAUUAAUGUACGUGACAUUGUUCUGGAAAAGUGCGUCGAUAGUCCAUCGGAGCAUCGGAAGAGGAUUCUCAUUCACUUCAAGCCUGGCACUCCGUCUACAAGAUCCUAUGUCCUCCUCCUGGGCCAGUUUCUUUACCAAGUUAUUCAUUCGCAGAAUGUACAGCAAACGCCAUUUCCUAUGAAACUGGCCCAGGAGGAGGACAUAGGAUCUUGUAGACGGAGUGCCAGGCUUGAAGUGAAUGAGAAUCCUCUUCCGAUGCUCCGAUGGACUAUCGACGCACUUUUCCAGAACAAUGUCACGUACAUUAAUUAAUGGAGUCCAUUAAUCUUAUAAACAACAAGAGUUCUGGAAAAGCAUGAUGACGUCCUGGAUGAUCUGAUCUAUUAUGCUGUGCAGUCGCUCACAUCAUGAGCUCUUGUUAGCCGUCAAAUGAGAAAAGUGUAGUCUGGCCACUGCGAGAAAAGCACUGUACCUACUUUCCAACUGCAAAAUACACUUUUAAGUAUGCUGAAGCAAAGAGGAUCUUACUGGUCAUAACUAUAAGCAUGAUUAGACUUCACAUAGGAGGCAGACUGAGCGAGCGAUCUGAAGAAAUCUGCAUAGCUGGGGAACAAGACGACCCCCGAUGACUUCGGAGACGGAGAUGCAAAACCAUGAGAUUCAGAGUAAGAAAAACA
rnacentral:lncRNA from 1 species